GCCGAAAUAGCUUAGUUGGGAGAGCGUUAGGCUGAAGAUCUAAGGGUCUCUGGUUUUGUCCCGUGUUUUGGCA